CACCUUAAGAUGUUUCAAUAUAAAUUUCACUUCUAGUAACUAUAUAGGAAUAUCUAUUGAAAAUAACUGCAACCGCUUUUAUUAUAGUACUUUUAUUAUGAAGAGUUUUUUAAUUUUGCUUACAACUGUUUAUUUUAUAAUAGUACCACAUACGUUAUCACUAGUAAGUCUAUAUUUUUUUUUUAAUUUUUAUAUUAUUACCCAUUUUUUUACAUUUUAAAAGAAAUGAAAGCGAUAUAUACUAAGUGUUAUAGCGGAGAGUGGAAAAUAUAAACCUCGUUCAUAACUCAGAGAAAAAUUCUAAUGGAUUAAUUUCCACUAGUGGUGAUAAAAAUGUGAAUAAAUAUUUAUCAUAUCAACCACGGAGUCACGAUGGUUUUGAAGUUCAUAAAACCCAUGACCAUUUACUACCAUCCGAGAGAAUCCAACAGUCUGCCCAAGUAUUAAACAAGUUGAAAAGGGUGGCUGCUGGUUGUAUGAGAUAUCCCUGCGAUAACUCAAUUAUUUGUUUUUCAAAACUUUGCGGUGGUUGCGUUAUUGCAAGUGGUAGUAAGGCUGGUGUAUGUUCCGAGAGAUAUCAUCCACCACGGUGAUAUCAGUAAUUUCCGUAGUUAAACAAAGUACGUUGAAAAUAUAAAGGAAAAUUCGAAGAACUUAUAGUCUUAACUGUGCUAAGUGGACCUACACCUCUCAUUAGUGAGUGCGCUAUAUUGUAAUUAGACGGAGCGAAGCGAAGUCUCUGAGAAUCAUACGAAGCUCUGUGUUUUGAGGGGGGG
rnacentral:sRNA from 2 species